GUCUGGCGAAAUCGAUAGCCACACACUUAACACGAGCCCAUGUCCGUGUGCUCGCCUGCGGCGCGCCGAGAGUGAACGAGACAGCGAGCUCCUUCUCACACUAGUUGCUUGUUUCAAGCGAC